GCCUCUGGGCCCCCUUGCCUUGUGACAAAGAUCCUACUCUCCGGCAAGCAUUUUGGCAAAGGGGAAAUCAGGACAAAGGGACUCACCAUUGCCCAUGGUUUAAGAACUAAAAAGCAUUGACGUGGAUUUGGAAUAGGUCUAAGGAUGAAGACACAUGGAGCUGCUUAGUAGCAGCUACUUGUCACAGCCAGGGCCCCUCCUACCAUGAAGCAAGAGUUGUCUCUUGCUGGGAGCAAAGCCUAUCCACCGCAAGCGUCUGGGCUCUUAAUCUUUGCCAACAUGCCAGUAACGUCUCUUGAUCAUUCUGCAUUUCAGGUAAAUGCCUAAAGAGACAGAAACUCGGUUCUUUUCAGAAGAAGAAAUCAGCAUUUCUUAUGACUGGAAAACUUUUACAGCUUGCAAUAGAAGGAGAUGUGCUUAAAGUCUUGUGCACAUGGUUUUUAAUCCAUGUAAUCCACAGCAGAAAUUAAGAUAUUUGUCAAACUGGAGAUUUAUCAAGCGAUGGUUACGUUACAAAGUCUUUCUAUAAAUAAAGAUGAGUAUGUUUAUUUUCUCUGAAUAUGGCUCCUUCUGAAUUUCUCUGUUAGAAUGUAUAAGGUGACCCAGAAAUUCAAAGCAGAAACACAUUCUAAUUUGCCAUCUCAUAUCAAGUUUUUAAGUUGCUUUGAGAGGAAGUAUGGUCGGAUAUUUCCCAAAGGGAGAGCAAAUUCAUGUUUCUCUUUGCUUUUUAUGUAUGCUUGUAAAAUUGACCUAUUUAUCCAUGAAAAUCUGCAAUAAAAAUAACUUUUAGUCACCACUGACUGCGGCAUUCAGCAUUUAGCGACAGAAGCAAAUAUGCAUACUUCUCAGCUGAAUUUCUGUGUUAUGUGCCUUUUAAUCAUGAUAACCAGGCCAACAGUUUCCUUUUUUUUGCCUUUUUUUAAUUUAUUUACAAGAUUCAUUUUACAGCCAAUUUAACAAAAAAUAUAACAUAGUAAGGAGAGAAAAAGGCAAAAGAGAGAAGGAGUAAAUAGACUUUUAUUUUGACCUAUCAUUAUACCAAAAUGGAGUAGCAUAGCAGGGCCCAUGGUCUGAGUUUGCUAUUACAUGUCUAAGUAAGUGUAGUUUCAUAUAUGUAUGUACACAGAUUAGCCAUUAUAGUUUUGUAUUUUGGGAGAUUCUGUAUAUAUCAUCCAUUGA